rnacentral:snoRNA from 1 species
UUCCACAGCUACUGGUCUGCAGCUGUUCUUACGGUAGCAGUUGUGGCAUUCCUCUGUGGGAAAGAAACUGUUAACACAAUUAAACACCUCUUUCUUAGCAAAACAGAAAGUGGGUAUUGUGUGACAGACACAA